rnacentral:tRNA from 1 species
GCCUCCUUAGCGCAUUGGUAGAGCACUCGCCUUGUAAGCGAAAGGUCGUCGGUUCAAUCCCGACAGGAGGCUCCG